GCUGGGCACAGUGGCGCAUGCCUGUAAUCCCAGCCAUUUGGGAAGCUGAGGCAGGAGGAUUGCGAGUUCAAAGCCAGCUUUAGAAAAUUAGCGAGGCACUUAGCAACUCAACAAGACCCUGUCUCUA
rnacentral:sRNA from 1 species